GAUGAACGCUGGCGGCGUGCCUAAUACAUGCGAGUCGAGCGAACAGACGAGGAGCUUGCUCCUCUGACGUUAGCGGCGGACGGGUGAGUAACACGUGGAUAACCUACCUAUAAGACUGGGAUAACUUCGGGAAACCGGAGCUAAUACCGGAUAAUAUAUUGAACCGCAUGGUUCAAUAGUGAAAGACGGUUUUGCUGUCACUUAUAGAUGGAUCCGCGCCGCAUUAGCUAGUUGGUAAGGUAACGGCUUACCAAGGCAACGAUGCGUAGCCGACCUGAGAGGGGGAUCGGCCACACUGGAGCUGAGACACGGUCCAGACUCCUACGGGAGGCAGCAGUAGGGAAUCUUCCGCAAUGGGCGAAAGCCUGACGGAGCAACGCCGCGUGAGUGAUGAAGGUCUUCGGAUCGUAAAACUCUGUUAUUAGGGAAGAACAAAUGUGUAAGUAACUAUGCACGUCUUGACGGUACCUAAUCAGAAAGCCACGGCUAACUACGUG
rnacentral:rRNA from 1 species